rnacentral:rRNA from 1 species
UACGUAGGUGCGAGCGUUGUCCGGAAUUAUUGGGCGUAAAGAGCUCGUAGGUGGUUGGUCACGUCUGCUGUGGAAACGCAACGCUUAACGUUGCGCGGGAAGUGGUACGGGCUGACUUGAGUGCAGUAGGGGAGUCUGGAAUUCCUGGUGUAGCGGUGAAAUGCGCAGAUAUCAGGAGGAACACCGGUGGCGAAGGAGGGACUCUGGGCUGUAACUGACACUGAGGAGCGAAAGCAUGGGGAGCGAACAGGAUUAGAUACCCCU